rnacentral:rRNA from 1 species
UACGUAGGGUCCGAGCGUUAAUCGGAAUUACUGGGCGUAAAGCGUGCGCAGGCGGUUUUGUAAGCCAGAUGUGAAAUCCCCGGGCUUAACCUGGGAAUGGCAUUUGGGACUGCAAGGCUGGAGUACGGCAGAGGGAGGUGGAAUUCCAGGUGUAGCAGUGAAAUGCGUAGAGAUCUGGAGGAACACCGGAUGGCGAAGGCGG